UGACCUCGAAUCAGGUAGGGAUACCCGCUGAACUUAAGCAUAUCAAUAAGCGGAGGAAAAGAAACCAACAGGGAUUGCCUCAGUAACGGCGAGUGAAGCGGCAAGAGCUCAAAUUUGAAAUCUGGCUCCUCUGGGGUCCGAGUUGUAAUUUGAAGAGGCAUCUUCAGGAGGGGCCCGGCCAAUGUUCCUUGGAACAGGACGUCACAGAGGGUGAGAAUCCCGUUCAUGGCCGGACGCCUACCCCGAUAUGUGGUGCCCUCUACGAGUCGAGUUGUUUGGGAAUGCAGCUCAAAAUGGGUGGUAAAUUUCAUCUAAAGCUAAAUAUUGGCGAGAGACCGAUAGCGCACAAGUAGAGUGAUCGAAAGAUGAAAAGCACUUUGAAAAUAGAGUCAAACAGUACGUGAAAUUGUUGAAAGGGAAGCGCUUGAGACCAGACUUGGCCCUCGACAAACAACCAUCCUUCUGGGUGGUGCACUUGUCGCUGGCUGGGCCAGCAUCGGUCGGGACGGUGGGAUAAAGGCCUGGGGAAUGUGACUCCUCGUCGGAGUGUUAAGAGCCCCUGGUGCCAUGCUGCCUGGCCCGACCGUGGACCGCGCUCGCUAG
rnacentral:rRNA from 1 species